AUUGAACGCUGGCGGCAGGCCUAACACAUGCAAGUCGAGCGAGCGGCGGACGGGUGAGUAAUGUCUGGGGAUCUGCCUGAUGGUGGGGGAUAACUACCGGAAACGGGCGCUAAUAUCGCAUACCAUCAGAUGAACCUAGAUGGGAUUAGCUUGUAGGUGGGGUAACGGCAUACCUAGGCGACGAUCCCUAGCUGGUCUGAGAGGAUGAUCAGCCACACUGGGACUGAGACACGGUCCAGACUCCUACGGGAGGCAGCAGUGGGGAAUAUUGGACAAUGGGCGCAAGCCUGAUGCAGCCAUGCCGCGUGUAUGAAGAAGGCCUUCGGGUUGUAAAGUACUUUAAGUUGGGAGGCGUUACCGACAGAAGAAGCACCGGCUAACUCCGUGCCAGCAGCCGCGGUAAUAC
rnacentral:rRNA from 1 species